GAGACCCCAGAUCAGGUGGGACUACCCGCU
rnacentral:rRNA from 1 species